UUUGGGUUUGGGAUAAGAAUAAUGUUGAUAACACACUGAUGUUUUAGUUGUUGCUAAGCAGUGUUUACACUCAGUCAAGUGUAAUCUUUAGCUUCUCAUGCUGCCCUGCCAGCAAAGGGGCUGGGGCUGCACAAGGGCUUGGGAGGGGACACAGCCUGGAGAGCUGACUCCCAAGGGAUAUUCCAUACUAUAUGGCAUUGUGCUCAGUAUCUAAACGGUGGGGAAAACUGGUCUUGGCCCGCUACUCAACAACUGGCUGGGCAUCAGUCAGUGAGUGGUGAAAAAUUGCAUUAUGCAUCACUUGGUUUGAGUGUUCUAAUUAAUUAAUCAUUACUAUUUUCCUAUUCAUUUCUGUCUUAUUAAACAGUUAUUGUCUCAACUCAUGAAUUUUACUUUUUUUUCAAAUUUUCUCACACAUCCCACUGGGAGGGGGAAGGAGUGAAGGAAUGGCUUUGUGGUGGUUUGCUGGCUUUAGACGGGGUAGAGUUAAUUUUCUUCACUCUGACUGGUAUGGGAUUAUGUUUGGGACUUGUGCUGAACACAGUGUUUAUAAUAUAGAUUUUUUUUUUUUGUUAUUGUUGAGCAGGACUCGCUUAGAGCCAUGGCCUUUUCUGCUUACUGCCACACUGCUGAGGUGUAUGAGAAAUCAGGAGGAAACACGGCCAGGACAGGUGACCAAAGGGAUAUUCCAGACCAUGUGACAUCAUGCUCAGCAUAAAAAGGUGGGAGGAAGAUGAAGGAAGGGGGGCACUUUUGGAGUGAUGGCAUUUGUCUUCCCAAGUAGCUGUUAUAUGUGAUGAAGCCCUACUCCCCUGGUGAUAGGUGUACAUCUGCCUGCCCAUGGGAACUGGGAAUAAAGUCACUUCAUUCUGCAGAGAUAUCUCCUGUUCAGUCUUCUCCAAACUGCUGAGACCUUGUAACUGCAUGCAGCCUGGGACACACAAGGAGGACACUCAGAGUCUGUGGUCCAGAAGACAAAAACUGGCUUGGGUGUAUACCUUGACUCUGGAGGCAGAUCCAGGAACCCGUAGAAUUCCUUCAGUUUCCAAACCUGUUUCCUCAAGCUUGAGCAGCAGCUGACAGAAG